rnacentral:lncRNA from 1 species
AAUGUAACGCAAGCUCUUGCAGCUCUACCCGUCUCUUCUUUGCCAGAUGUUGAUCAGAUAAGCUCAGCACUGUCACAGUCAACUAUCUUUCCCAUUGAGCUGCAAUGUGAAGGCUGUCAGGAGAAACUUUUACAAUCUGUAGGCCGAAUGAUUCAUGUGCUAAAGGAGCAGAUGACCCCCGCUGUUUUGCCUGCUGUUGACACUGGAAAAAAUAUCCUGAAUAUCAUCGGUAGUGCACUGGCAGCUGUGUCUGAGUCUGUUAGCGCUUCUGCUCUUCACGGUGCCAACCAAACCACCCUGCAGGCGGCUUCCGGAAUCACCUUGUCAGCAUUGGGAUACGCUACAGCCCUCAUGCGGAUUCUGAUGGGGUCCCGUGUUGUAGGCGAGCCACCGCUUUCACUCUCCACUCGUCGUAUCCACACAGUUGGCUUUCAAGGAAACCCAUCUGACUUGCUUUGCUCAAGUCAAUCCAGUCAAGCCUACAGUGCCAACCAUCAGUCAUUCCCCACUGAUGAAUCUACCACUUCUCACUCUUGUCAGUUUGACAUCCCACCAUCCCUCACUGCGCAGCUGAAAGGUCAAAGGUCUGAGCUGGUUCAGGUGCUUUUCAGCACAGAUGAAAAUCUUCAUUCUAUUCCUUUGCUCAGUGGAGCCAAACCUUCAAUCUCCACCAAUCUUGUUGCCAUGGAACUCACUACUCCACACGGGGACCCCAUAGUUAUCAAAGAUUUGGUCCCCAAACGAGCGAUACAAGUGAAACUACCAAACAAUGACCCUUUGGAGCGGGGUGAUGGUGGUGGAACUGGGAGAGUAAAAGAAACUGACAAUGGCCCAUGUCUAACUGUGACACUCCCAAAUGAAGGCCAGUUGAAUUUCACAAUAAAAGCACUGGAAGAUCUUGCUGAAGACAGUGGUUUAUACAUCUCCUUCAACUUCAGUCUGAGUACAGGAGCUUCUCCAGUGAAUCAGGGACAUGUCAAGAUAGAACUAAAUUCUGCACUUUUUGAGACUAACGCAUCCCAG